UGCUGGGAAAGAUUGAAGGCGGGAGGAGAAGGGGACAAUAGAGGAUGAGAUGGUUGGAUGGCAUCGGUGACUCAAUGGACCCCAUGACUCAAUGGACAUGAGUUUGAGCAAGCUCUGGGGGUUGGUGAUAGACAGGAAACCUGGCAUGCUGCAGUCCAUGGGGUCACAAAGAGUCGGACAUGACUGAGCGACUGAACUGACUGAACUGAUGGAGUGGAGGUGUCCCCUCUGACCUUUCUACCCCUCUUUUGUUCUUCAACAGAAAGAUUCCACAAAGGCAGCUGGGAAGAUUACACAAAGCAGAGUUGACUUGAGUUUCCAGUCUGGCAUCUGUGCUUCCCAAACAGUCAUCCUUAUGUCAUCUGGUCCUCUGCCCUUUUGAAACCAGAUCUCAGUUUGCUGGUUCCUGUGAGCAGUGGAAAGAAAGAACAGUGAAUGUGAUCCAACAGAGUUCAGUAUGGAACCGCUCGACAAGCCUGAAUCAUCAGUUUCUCGCCUCUGCAGUCUUAGGAUCUGCUGGGUUGAAGGCCCUCGUUUCCAGGGCUGAUGAAGUAGCGCUUUGUAAAGGGCUGCAGCAGUGGGCCCAGUAGACUUGAAGCUGUGACUCCUGCUUGGACACUUUGGAAUCCUCGUGGUGUUGCACCAGUCAUCCUAAUUUCGGUGAGCUUUAUCAUAUGUCCCAGUGAGGAUCUGGAAUUAUCACUACCCCAAUAGGGAUAUAAAGAAGUGGGUCUAAAAUGCAAGAAACUCACCAAGUCAUCUUUUGAUGCCUUCAAACCCAGUGAUAAUCACACGUUGAAAAUCAUAGCAAUCGUAA
rnacentral:lncRNA from 1 species